rnacentral:rRNA from 1 species
CUGAAACAUCUAAGUACCCCGAGGAAAAGAAAUCAACCGAGAUUCCCCCAGUAGCGGCGAGCGAACGGGGAGGAGCCCAGAGCCUGAAUCAGCAUGUGUGUUAGUGGAAGCGUCUGGAAAGGCGCGCGAUACAGGGUGACAGCCCCGUACACAAAAGCGCAUGUGCUGUGAGCUCGAUGAGUAGGGCGGGACACGUGGUAUCCUGUCUGAAUAUGGGGGGACCAUCCUCCAAGGCUAAAUACUCCUGACUGACCGAUAGUGAACCAGUACCGUGAGGGAAAGGCGAAAAGAACCCCGGCGAGGGGAGUGAAAAAGAACCUGAAACCGUGU